rnacentral:rRNA from 1 species
AACGAACGCUGGCGGCAGGCUUAACACAUGCAAGUCGAACGGGUGUAGCAAUACAUCAGUGGCAGACGGGUGAGUAACACGUGGGAACCUUCCUUAAGGUACGGGACAACUCAGGGAAACUUGAGCUAAUACCGUAUACGUCCGAGAGGAGAAAGAUUUAUCGCCUUUAGACGGGCCCGCGUCGGAUUAGCUAGUUGGUGGGUAACGGCCGUACCAACGGCGACGAUCCGUAGCUGAUCUGAGAGGAUGAUCAGCCACACUGGGACGUGAGACACGGCCCA